CAACGAAUAUUCCGCAAUGGACGAAAGUCUGACGGAGCGACGCCGCGUGCGGGAAUAAGCCCUUCGGGGUGUAAACCGCUGUCAGGGAUCACCAAGCAAAGGGGACGAAUAGUCUCCGCGUUGAGGAAUCCCAGAGGAAGCCACGGCUAACUUCGUGCCAGCAGCCGCGGUAAUACGAAGGUGGCUAGCGUUGUUCGGAAUCACUGGGCUUAAAGAGCACGUAGGCGGCCUGUCAAGCGUCUUGUGAAAUCCCUCGGCUCAACCGAGGAACUGCUGGACGAACGGGCAGGCUUGAGGUAGGUAGGGGCGCACGGAACUCUUGGUGGAGCGGUGGAAUGCGUAGAUAUCAAGAGGAACGCCGGUGGCGAAGGCGGUGCGCUGGGCCUAUCCUGACGCUCAGGUGCGAAAGCCAGGGGAGCAAACGGG
rnacentral:rRNA from 1 species